UACUAAGCUGAUGAUGGCCGGACGUCUCUGGGCCGAAAUAUCGUGGCAGAAUGUCGACGGGAUCCGGCUGCAUACCCGGAAAUUAUUAGAAGAAGAAAUAUGCUGGGAAAAUUUCAGAAGUCACACUUUUCUUGAUCUUUGUCAUCCAACAAGAAAAAAUAAGGAAUGCACACCAAAUGCUGGUCUAUAUUUAUAUGCCAACUAGCACUACAGCAAAUAAUGUAACACCCGGAGGCCAUUUGCAACAUGCUUCUGUGUAAGAGUAUAAUUGGAUAUUGACUGCUUGGCAGACAGUAUCAGAACAACUUGUCAUUAAAGUUUUUAAAACAUGAAUUUUACAAUCAUCUUGACCAGACUGAAGACGUUCUCCUUUGUAAUAGUGACUCUGAGUAGCAUUCUGGAUCCUCUAGCAAAGGUGGGGAAUUAGAUGCUGGUGAUGCUGAGAAGUAAUUGUGAUUCAUAUGGGUGAAACUGAUAACUUGGAGUAAAUGGCUCCCAUUAUAUUAUGUUUCAGUGUGUUCAGAUUUAAUGUACUUGUAGCUAUAUACCUGCAGCAAAACCAAUAAAAAUUUAUUGUUAAUCUA